rnacentral:ncRNA from 1 species
UGGUCCUAGCCUUUUUGUCAAAUUUUACUUAACUUACACAUGCAAGUCUCCGCACCCCGGUGAGAACGCCCCUUAACUCCUAAUGGAUCAGGGAGCUGGUAUCAGGCACAAACCUUCGCCCAAGACACCUAGCCUUGCCACACCCACAACGGGCAUUCAGCAGUGAUUAACAUUAAAAAUUAGCGACAGCUAGAUUUAGCUAAAGUAAAUAGAGCCGGCAAACCUGGUGCCAGCCGCCGCGGCUAUACCACGGGGCCCAAUUUGACACUCAUCGGCGUAAAGCGUGAUUAAAGCAACUCUACCAUUAGAGUCAAACUAUGGUUGAACUGUGAUAAGUCCACCAUAAGGAAGCCCAAAAACGAAAGUUACUCUAACAUUCAAACUUGAACUCACGACAGCCUGGGCACAAACUGAGAUUAGAUACCUCACUAUGCCAGACCGUAAACCUUUAACUUACACCACCUCCGCCAGGGUACUACAAGCCAAAGCUUAAAACCCAAAGGGACUUGACGGUGCCCCAUAUCCACCUAGAGGAGCCUGUCCUAUAAUCGAUGAUCCACGUUUAACCUCACCUCUUCUAGCCUCCCAGCCUGUAUACCUCCGUCGCCAGCUCACCGCAUGAGCGCCUAAUAGUGAGCAAGAUGGCCCCUCCGCCAAAACGUCAGGUCAAGGUGCAGCAAAUGAAGCGGGCAGAGAUGGGCUACAUUUUCUAUAUUAGAAAAAUACGAAAGACCGCGUGAAACCCCGUCAGAAGGAGGAUUUAGUAGUAAAGCAGAGACCAAUAAGCUCUCUUUAACAAGGCACAGGGGCAUGUACACACCGCCCGUCGCCCUCUUCAACAGCCAUAAAACAGUAAAUAACUAAUAUUCCGCACUAAGAAGAGGUAAGUCGUAACAUGGUAAGCAUACCGGAAGGUGUACUUGGAAA